rnacentral:rRNA from 1 species
GAUGGUUCUGCUAUCACUCUUGGGAUGGACCUGCGGUGCAUUAGCUAGUUGGUAGGUAAUGGGCCUACCAAGGCGAUGAUGCAUAGCCCGAGUUGAGAGACUGAUCGGGCCACAUUGGGGACUGAGACACGGGCCCAAAACUCCUACGGGGAGGCAGCAGUAGGGAAUCUUCCACAAUGGACGCAAGUCUGAUGGAGCAACGCCGCGUGAGUGAAGAAGGGUUUCGGCUCGUAAAAGCUCUGUUGUUGGUGAAGAAGGACAGGGUAGUAACUGACCUUUGUUUGACGGUAAUCAAUUAGAAGUCACGGCUAACUACGUGCCAGCAGCCGCGGUAAU